GAUGUCAGCUGAGAAGCAGAAGAAAGUUGCCGCUCGUGCACUUAGCAGGGUGACCUGGGUCUCACGCGCUAGGAGGGGAGGGACCAGAAAGCGCGCGCCCUACACAGUGCUGCAGACACGCGGAAGACAUAAGAUUUUUUGUAACCGCGCGCAUCUCUGCCCCUACGGCGAAGCUCAGCUCAACCGUUGCGGUCUGCCGCAGCUCGCGAGUGUCUGCGAUGCACCGUUAAUGUCACUCGAGCGCGGGGUCUGUCAAAGUCACUUUCAAGCUUAGACUUCCACUUCCGUGUAGAGGUCGCGUGCUUUAACGUCAGCUCAUUACAGGAAGCUCUAAUCUGCGCGUAAUCCUCUACAGAAGCGCAGAUUAAAGGAACUGUGGGAGACGGGAACUAACGUUGACAUCACACUCACGGGAAACUACGCUACGACAGCUGUGGAGGAAUGCCAGCCGGGGUCUGCGGGUGCUGCGGGCCUCUCCGGCCCCGCUACAAGCGUCUUGUGGACAACAUCUUCCCUGAGGACCCAAAGGAUGGCCUGGUGAAAGCGGACAUGGAGAAGCUGACUUUCUAUGCUGUCUCCGCCCCAGAGAAGCUGGACCGAAUCGGAGCGUACCUGGCAGAGAGAUUGAGCCGAGACGUAGUCCGACACCGCUAUGGGUAUGUGGUUAUCGCCAUGGAAGCGCUGGAUCAGCUGCUGAUGGCGUGUCACUCCCAGAGCAUCAAGCCGUUCGUGGAGAGUUUCCUUCACAUGGUGGCCAAGCUGCUCGAGUCCCGGGAGCCGGACCUGCAAGUACUGGGGACCAACUCAUUUGUGAAGUUUGCGAACAUUGAAGAGGACACCCCCAGCUAUCACCGCCGGUACGACUUCUUCGUGUCUCAGUUCAGUGCCAUGUGCCACUCCACACACGAAGACCCCGAGACACAGACCAGGAUCCGUGUCGCUGGUAUUAAAGGGCUGCAGGGGGUGGUGAGGAAGACGGUGAACGACGAGCUUCAGGCGAUCAUCUGGGAACCCCAACACAUGGACAAGCUGAUCCCCUCACUCCUGUUCAACAUGCAGGACUCAGACGAGACAGAGGGGCCGUCAGGAGAGGAGAAUCCGGCGUCUCUGGCUGAAAGUUGUUUCCGGGAGCUGUUGGGACGAGCCGCCUACGGCAACAUGAACAACGCCGUCCGUCCUGUGCUGGUGCACCUGGAUAAUCAUCGACUGUGGGAUACUAAUGAGUUUUCCGUCUCCUGCUUCCGCAUCAUCAUGUACUCAAUACAGGCACAGCACUCUCACCAUGUGAUCCAGCAGGUGUUGGGACAUCUCGACACACACUCUAAGAACACGCCACGUGUGCGCGCAGGAAUCGUGCAGGUGCUCCUGGAAACGGUUGCCAUAGCAGCCAAAGGUUCAGUAGGGCCAGCAUCUACUCAUAGGGGCGGGGACUAUACGUGGGUUAACCCCACAUGUUCCCCGCCCAAUCUCUGGUUGGGGCCCACCGUGUUGGAGGUCUUUAACACACUCCUGAAACACCUGCGUGUGUCCGUGGACGGGGAGCUGGCUGACGGGAGGCGGGUUUCCAACUAUAGCGUGUCAUCAUCCCGCGCCAGAGACAGUGAUGAAAGGAUUGUCCAGAAUGCCAUCAUUCAGACCAUAGGCUUCUUUGGGGGAAACUUGCCAGAUUACCAGCGUGCUGAGGUCAUGAUGUUCAUUAUGGGGAAGAUUCCUGUCUACGGCACGCCCUGUCACUCACUGGACACUGUCAAGAUUGGGUUAGUGACAUCAGGCUUCAAGUCUAAGACCAUGUGUGCGGCUCUGCCUGCCGCCUUCCUUGAGCCCCUGUGUUCCGUGUCUCUGAUGGAAGAUUCCGAGCUCCGCCUCCUUGUCCUGGAGAUUCUUCACAACAUAAUCGAUCGCCAUGACAACCGAGCCAAGCUCCGUGGCAUACGAAUUAUUCCUAAUGUUGCUGCUUUGAAAAUCAAACGUGAGAAAAUAUCGAAGCAAGAUGUUACGUUCAUGAAGAAGCAUGGUCAGCAGCUGUACAGACACAUCUACCUGGGCUGUAAAGAGGAAGACAACGGCCAGAAGAACUUUGAGCUUCUCUUCACGGCCCUGGCUCUCGUCACCAUCGAGCUGGCCAACGAGGACGUCAUCAUCGACCUCAUACGCCUGUCUUUAGCACUCCAGGACAUGGCUCUGACCAAUGAGGAGAACCUGCCCAUGUUCAUCCGCUGUGGCAUCAUGGCGCUGGUCGCCGCCUACCUCAACUUCCUGAGUCAGAUGAUCGCCAGCCCUGGACUGUGUCAACACGUCAGCAAGGUGAUUGAGUUGAGGAAUCUUGAGGCUCCAUAUCUACUCCCAGAGCAUGUAUUCCGAGAAAAGUGUCCGCUUCCAACAGUGCUGCAGGCUGAUGACAGGGCGGUGUUUUUCGGUGUGUGUGACGUGACGGAAGCACUUUGUGGCUCGGCCUACAGUGUGGAGCGCCUGCCCAUCCCUUACGUUCCCCAGGUUACAGAUGAAGACCGUCUGAGCCGAAGGAAGAGCUUUGUAGACACCAUCUCUUUACAACUGGAUAUCCUGUCCAACAGCCUACCAGAUAAGUCACACCUUGCUGAGGAGAUCACCUUUGAGACUCUGAAGAAAGCGAUAGACACCACAGGUCUUGAGGAACAGGAGAGGGAGAGAAGGCGUCAGGUAAUGGAGAAGUUCCAGAAAGCUCCAUUUGAGGAGAUCGCUGCCCACUGCGAGUCCAAGAAUAACAUGCUCCACGACCGGCUUGCACAGAUCUUUGAGUUAACCAUCCGCCCGCCCCCCAGCCCAUCAGGCCCCGCCUCUAUCACGUCUGGACCCGCCCACUACCAAUCCGUUCCUGUCUAUGAGAUGAAGUUCCCUGAUCUGUGUGUGUACUAG
ensembl:lncRNA